rnacentral:sRNA from 1 species
GGUCGUACUGGUCGAUUAGGAAACUCAUCAAUGAAUAGAUAAAUUCCGAGACAAGCUUACCGUUUCCAAUGGCGGGUCACACCCUCCGGGGAUGCUUCAGGGCACAAGUGAAUUACAAAGGGGCGGAGCACUCAAAUCCUGUUACACGGAGUUUCGUCUUUAUCUUUCAGUACGAUUUUUAUA